rnacentral:rRNA from 1 species
UACGGGAGGCAGCAGUGGGGAAUAUUGCACAAUGGGCGAAAGCCUGAUGCAGCUAUGCCGCGUGUAUGAAGAAGGCCUUAGGGUUGUAAAGUACUUUCAUCGGGGAGGAAAAAACAAAACUAAUAAUUUUAUUUCUUGACGUUACCCGAAAAAGAAGCACCGGCUAACUCCGUGCCAGCAGCCGCGGUAAUACGGAGGGUGCUAGCGUUAAUCAGAAUUACUGGGCGUAAAGAGCACGUAGGUGGUUUUUUUAAGUCAGAUGUGAAAUCCCUGGGCUUAACCUGGAACUGCAUUUUGAAACUGAAAUACUAGAGUAUCGUAGAGGGAGGUAGAAUUCUAGGUGUAGCGGUGAAAUGCGUAGAUAUCUGGAGGAAUACCUGUGGCGAAAGCGGCCUCUAAACGAAUACUGACACUGAGGUGCGAAAGCGUGGGGAGCAAACAGGGAUUAGAUACC